rnacentral:rRNA from 1 species
AAUAUUGGUCAAUGGAUGCAAGUCUGAACCAGCUAUGCCGCGUACAUGAACACUGCCCUAUGGCUUGGAAACGGCUUUCGUACGGGACCACACCCUUCUACGCGAAGGAGGCUGAGUUUACCGUAAGAUUGAGUAUUGGCUAACUCCGUGGCAGCAGCCGCGGUACUACGGAGGAUCCAAGCGUUACACGUAGUUAUUGGGUUUAAAGGGUGCGUAGGCGGCCCGUUAAGUCAGGGGUGAAAGACGGCAGCUCAACUGUCGCAGUGCCUUUGAUACUGACGGGCUUGAAUGCGGAUGAGGUAGGCGGAAUGAGACAAGUAGCGGUGAAAUGCAUAGAUAUGUCUCAGAACUCCGAUUGCGAAGGCAGCUUACUAAGCCGUGAUUGACGCUGAUGCACGAAAGCGUGGGGAUCAAACA